UGUGCCGUGUACUGUUAGUCAGUGGGUCCAUAGAUAAAAGAUAAUACUAGCAGAUAAACAUAUCACACAAAAAUACACGCUCGACUUAAGCCAAGAGAAUUAGGGUUUUGGGGAUUUGGGGGAAACCAUCAGAUGGGAUCAAGCAGAGAAACAAAGAUUGUGUUGAGCCAGAAGCGAGUUGCCAAGGAAAUAUAUUAUUUUCGAGUUGCGUGACUGUGCAGUCACAAGUUGUUCUAUUAGAGGCAAGUAUCUUUAUCGACGACUUGCACUUAUUUCAAGUAAAAUUUUAUCUCGUCUAUUUAAAAAGAAUCAUUCAUAUUCAUAUUUUGCUAUGUCCAUUAGUAGUGCAUGUCAUAUAUUUAAAAAUACAAUAUUAUUAAUUAUCCCUUGUAUAACUACUACAAGUAUUCUGUUUGACAUCUCUUUAUAACCAAUCAUAUUUUAUUUUCUUCACUCAAUAAACAUUUUCUGCUACUGCACACAAGCAUUCAUGAUCUUUUGAAUCUCUUUAUAAAAUUUUAGUUGUUUUCAGCAUUUUAAAAAGAUAAGCUGAUUAAGCUUUGAAAUUAUUAAUUAAAGAUCUUCAAUUAUUCUCUCUCCUAUAUUUGAACAUGUACUCUUUACGAGUAUAUUAGUUACCUGAAUUACAUUACACAACUUCGAGCAUGAAAGCUAUUUUACUUGCAUCAUUAUGUUGGACAUGUGUACACUCACAUCAUGUUUACAAUAUUUUAUCAACUGUUGUUUUCUAUAAAUGUUUCCUCUGAAAAGAACUUUUAUUUAAUGUUCUAGAAAUGCUGAACUGUUAAUCUAACGGUUAGUAUUAUGAUUUUGAUAUGAAACAAGGUUGUCGAUUAUUUUGAUACCUUGCUUAUUUUGUGAUUGGAAGUACCCUCGGGGACCGACCGCCGGUCCAGUUACAAUUUUGGCCAAUAUGUGCCUUGGAUCCCUUAAAAUUUGGUGACAUGCUUCGUGCAUGAUCCGGUGCUAUCUCGCGACUGAUCAUCGGCUAUAGCAUAGCGUGAAAUUAUUCCAAUCCCUAAAAAUGUUGUGGAAGGUUUAUAUAGUAAUGCUAUUCUUUAUUAGCAUUAAGUUUCAGAAAAGUUUUAUAAAUUAAAUUCGAAGUUCAUAUUGUCGCUGAAGCAUUUGUUGCCCAGUGAUAGUUAGAGCCAAGAAUGAGUUGAGAUCUUCUUAUCUGUUCAACCCGUCAUGGUCAUGCUGAUUUAGCAACUAAAUAUAUGGAAAUUUAGUCGACAAUGAUGGACACUGAAUAUUUAGGGAUUUCUUGAACUGUGGUUUAUGAACAGUUGAUUAUCAAAAGUUAUUUUGAACUUCUCAAAUCAUUUAUUUUUGAAGUUCUUGCAAAGAUAUUAUUUUAUGAGAUUUGCUGCAAUGCAAAUCAAAAUGGUUUUAAUGAUUUUGAAGUGAAUCAAUUAUUUGAUUCCAAAAUGUUUUCUCAUGAUAGAAACUUUCUCUCUCCAGUUUGGAAUUACAUUAUCAAUGUUUUGAAUAUAAAUCCAUGAUCUAUUGGAUUUGAAUUCCCUGCAUAUUAUGGAAUUACUUUAUUAUGAUUUUAAAGGUUUUCUUGCUGAGCAUUGUCGCUCACCCUUGCUAUUAUUUCUAACCCUUUCAGCUAGGGUUUAAGAUGAUUCAUCUACGUAAGCUGCGCAUAAGAUAGUUGUUGAGCGAGACUGCCAAGGAGAUGUCUGUGAGACCAGCUAUGGUUAGAAUUGUUUUAUUCCAGUUAAGUUAUAUAAUAGAUUUAUUUAUUUGGUUAUCAGUUACUCUUCUUAUCGAGGUUUAACUGAUAAUGUAGUUUAAGUUGUAAUAAGAUUUUAAGUUUUGGUUUCUGAUUUCAGU